AGACAUGCUGUCAGUCAGUUGCCCAGGCUGAAGUGCAGUGGCGAGAUCAUGCGUCACUGCAGACUUGACCUCCCGGGCUCCAGAGAUCGGCCUCCCAAGUAGCUGAGACAACAGGUGUGUGCCACGACAUCCGGCUAAUUUCUUAAUUUUUCUGUAGGGAUGGGAUCUUACUAUGUUGCCUAGGCUGUUCUUGAACUCCUGGGCUCAAGCAGAUGAUCCUCUUACCUUGACCUCCCGAAGUGCUGGGACUUACAGCUGCGGCUUUAGGAAGGAAUCUGCGUUUAUGAAGGGGAUGGCACCGCAGAAUCAUUCCCCCGUGGGUGGCAUCGAUUUCGAGGGCCGCCUCAUCCUGGGGGCCAAGCCUCCACUCUUCAAGGUGCCAAGUCAACCUGAAACCCUGGGAGAGACUUGGGUCAUAGCCAAGAUGGCAGGUACCUACGGAGGGUCCCGAAAUACACUUCCCAGAAGUCCAGGCGGCAACUUCCGCUCCAGGGUGCCAAGGUAGGUCCAGACGACGCCUAGGCAACCGGGGGCGGGGCUCCCAAAGCCUGUCGUCGUGGCAACGAGUAGUGAUUGACAAGCCUCUCGCUCUAGCCCUGGGCGCUCCCGCAAGGACUGCCCGGAUUCGUUCCCCGCGCUUCCGGUCUCACUGGGGAGCCGGAAUCCCCGAGUCUGCAGCCACCGCCCCCGUCCACACGAUAGCCCUCCCGGUUAAGAGGACCCCGCCCUCACCUCUGCGCUCAGCGGGCCGCUCCGCGCUCCUGAGCACGCGCAGUCUUCGACUUCCCCCUCC
rnacentral:lncRNA from 1 species